CAGUAGCCACGGUAAUACGUAGGUGGCAAGCGUUGUCCGGAAUUAUUGGGCGUAAAGGGCUCGCAGGCGGUUUCUUAAGUCUGAUGUGAAAGCCCCCGGCUCAACCGGGGAGGGUCAUUGGAAACUGGGAAACUUGAGUGCAGAAGAGGAGAGUGGAAUUCCACGUGUAGCGGUGAAAUGCGUAGAGAUGUGGAGGAACACCAGUGGCGAAGGCGACUCUCUGGUCUGUGACUGACGCUGAGGAGCGAAAGCGUGGGGAGCGAACAGGAUUAGAUACCCCCGUAGUCCCUGUCUCUUAUAA
rnacentral:rRNA from 1 species